CGUGGAGAACCUGCCGUAUACUGGGGGAUAACACUUAGAAAUAGGUGCUAAUACCGCAUAAGCGCACAGCUUCGCAUGAAGCAGUGUAGGAAAAACAAAAAGCUAAAGUCUUUUGGUGGUAUACGAUGGAUCCGCGUCUGAUUAGCUAGUUGGCGGGGUAAAGGCCCACCAAGGCGACGAUCAGUAGCCGGCCUGAGAGGGUGAACGGCCACAUUGGGACUGAGACACGGCCCAAACUCCUACGGAAGGCAGCAG
rnacentral:rRNA from 1 species